rnacentral:piRNA from 1 species
UGAGCUGGAACAUUCAGCAAUUUCCUUGCCUU